AACGAACGCUGGCGGCAUGCCUAACACAUGUAAGUCGAACGAGACCUUCGGGUCUAGUGGCGCACGGGUGCGUAACGCGUGGGAACCUGCCCUUAGGUUCGGAAUAACUCCCCGAAAGGGGUGCUAAUACCGGAUAAUGUCUUCGGACCAAAGAUUUAUCGCCUUUGGAUGGGCCCGCGUUGGAUUAGCUAGUUGGUAGGGUAAAAGCCUACCAAGGCGACGAUCCAUAGCUGGUCUGAGAGGAUGAUCAGCCACACUGGGACUGAGACACGGCCCAGACUCCUACGGGAGGCAGCAGUGGGGAAUAUUGGACAAUGGGCGAAAGCCUGAUCCAGCAAUGCCGCGUGAGUGAUGAAGGCCUUAGGGUUGUAAAGCUCUUUUACCCGGGAUGAUAAUGACAGUACCGGGAGAAUAAGCUCCGGCUAACUCCGUG
rnacentral:rRNA from 1 species